CCAGACUCCUACGGGAGGCAGCAGUGGGGAAUAUUGCACAAUGGGGGAAACCCUGAUGCAGCGACGCCGCGUGAGUGAAGAAGUAUUUCGGUAUGUAAAGCUCUAUCAGCAGGGAAGAAAAUGACGGUACCUGAUUAAGAAGCCCCGGCUAACUACGUGCCAGCAGCCGCGGUAAUACGUAGGGGGCAAGCGUUAUCCGGAUUUAUUGGGUGUAAAGGGUGCGUAGACGGGAAAACAAGUUAGUUGUGAAAUCCCUCGGCUUAACUGAGGAACUGCAACUAAAACUAUUUUUCUUGAGUGUUGGAGAGGAAAGUGGAAUUCCUAGUGUAGCGGUGAAAUGCGUAGAUAUUAGGAGGAACACCAGUGGCGAAGGCGACUUUCUGGACAAUAACUGACGUUGAGGCACGAAAGUGUGGGGAGCAAACAGGAUUAGAUACCCGCGUAU
rnacentral:rRNA from 1 species